rnacentral:rRNA from 1 species
GGGUUGUGAGGUUAAGCGACUAAGCGUACACGGUGGAUGCCCUGGCAGUCAGAGGCGAUGAAGGGCGUGCUAAUCUGCGAUAAGCGCCGGUAAGGUGAUAUGAACCGUUAUAACCGGCGAUACCCGAAUGGGGAAACCCAGUGUGAUUCGUCACACUAUCAUUAACUGAAUCCAUAGGUUAAUGAGGCGAACCGGGGGAACUGAAACAUCUAAGUACCCCGAGGAAAAGAAAUCAACCGAGAUUCCCCCAGUAGCGGCGAGCGAACGGGGAGGAGCCCAGAGCCUGAAUCAGCAUGUGUGUUAGUGGAAGCGUCUGGAAAGGCGCGCGAUACAGGGUGACAGCCCCGUACACAAAAGCGCAUGUGCUGUGAGCUCGAUGAGUAGGGCGGGACACGUGGUAUCCUGUCUGAAUAUGGGGGGACCAUCCUCCAAGGCUAAAUACUCCUGACUGACCGAUAGUGAACCAGUACCGUGAGGGAAAGGCGAAAAGAACCCCGGCGAGGGGAGUGAAAAAGAACCUGAAACCGUGUACGUACAAGCAGUGGGAGCCCCACCACUAAGCCAGUGGUGAACUCCACAUACGCAUCCUUUGCUGAGGAUACGGUUAACGGAGCGAAAGCGACGUUCAACCUCAAAAGAAGCAGAGGGGGCUUAGUGGUGGGGUGACUGCGUACCUUUUGUAUAAUGGGUCAGCGACUUAUAUUCUGUAGCAAGGUUAACCGUAUAGGGGAGCCGGAGGGAAACCGA